ACUCAAAGGAAUAGACGGGGACCCGCACAACCAGUGGAGCAUGUGGUUUAAUUCGAGACAAAGCGAAAGACCUCACCAGGGUUUGAAAUGUUAAUGCUAACCCUAUGAAAGUAGGGCUUCUUCGAGAGUUUAACACAGCUGCUGCAUGGCUGUCGUCAGCUCGUGCCGUGAGGUAUUGGCUUAAGUGCCAAAACGAGCGCAACCCCUAUCCAAUGUUAGAUAUUCAUUGGGGACUGCAGUCAAUUAUUUGACUGAGGAAGGAAGGGACGACGUCAAGUCAGCACGGCGUUUAUAUCCUGGGCAACACACAUCCUACAAUGGCGAAUAACAACGAGUUUGCCAACUCGCGAGAGUGAGCUAAUCUCUGAAAUUUCGCCUCAGUUGGAAUUGGAGUCUGCAACUCGACUCCAUGAACGCGGAAUUGGUAGUAAUCGCGGAUCAGCAGGUCGCGGUGAAUACGUUCUCGGGUCUUGUACACACCGCCCGU
rnacentral:rRNA from 1 species